CUGUUAAAGAAGAGGUCCUCUGUAUGCAGAAAGAAGCUCUGAGGCUGAACAUUGUCGUGAAAGAAGAAGAGGAUGUUAUAGAGGAAACAGAGGAAGAACCUUUCAGAGAGGAAGACGAUGCUAUCUCAGUAGAGGUGAAGAAGGAAGACGUCUUGGGAGUGAAAGUGGAGGAGACAGAAUAUCAGAUUAACACCAGAGAGAGACAUGACUAUUGUGGAUCCUCUGGGGAGCCUCAACA